CAACUAAUGAGAGGAGAGCCCAAUACUCGGCUUUUUAGGUUUUCACUUAACUGCCGUCACACCUCUUUCUCUCUCAUCAGUCCCUCACUCCCUCUCUCUCUCCUCUCCUCUCCUCCCCUCUCCGUCAUUCACCUCUUCUCUUUCUUUUCAAACUCAGGCCCUCUCAUUUCGAGGAGCAACGAGAAGACCUUGAGCAGCGAUUGCGUUCAUCUUGAGACCGGCGGCUUCAUACAUUAACUCCCAAGCGGCGUCGAUUUUGGGCGGAGGUGUAACCGGCGAUGACGAACAACCUAGCCCGUAGGCUUCUUCCUCUUUAGAUCUAAGUCGUUGAACGAACCGAUGCUAGGUUUACCCUCUAUUUGCAUCGGUUGGUGUAGCCGUCGGAAUUUGCGGGUUUCAGCUCAUCCGGAAUAUUUGCGGCAACCCAGAAGUGAGAUCUGAUUGAAUUUCAUCCCAAAGAUAGAAGGGGCAUGAGCUUCAAAUUGUUGCCACAAACUUUAAUCAGUAUAUCAAGAUCUUCAUCAGAACGGAAAAGGCAGAAAACUAGUAACUCAAUUAACCGGAGUAAUAAAUUGAGGGAUUUAUACCAUCAAGUUACAAUUUGCUCCAUAGAUCUUUUACCAAUUCAGAAGUGAAUUUUUUGAGGCACAUUCAGAAUUGAAUUUUCCCAUCCCUAAGUAAUGAUAAUCGAAGUAUGAAAACAGAUUAACAGAUGUUGAGCGAUGAUUCAGAUGUAUAAGUUUGCUGGAAGCCUCGUAGCAAAAGUAGCAAUCCUAUUGAUGUUACGGGUUCAUGUUGGGAGAUGUAUGUCAUUGUUCAUAAGAUAGCUGACCCAGAGGGAGACCAGAGUAGAUUGCUAUAAACAGCUCUAGAUAUGAGCAAGAUACAGUUUAACAAGGAUGUUGGGCAAGCAAAGCGGCAAAGCUACUCAAGAGUUUUGGAGAGCUUAGCAUUUACAUUAUGGCUAGACUAGACGAUUUAUUAUUUUAGGUAGUCUUAUGUAAACUUGUUUAAUUAUUAUUACAAUGAUUUGUUUUUGCUUUGUUUUAGUUUUAGUUAUUAGGAAAUAAUUAAAGCAGCUUUUCUUGAUUGUAUAUUAUUUGGUAAUUAUUAAGUGUA